GCCGUAGCUCAGUGGUAGAGCCUCUGCUUUGCAUGCAGAAGGGCCCAGGGCCAAUCCCUGUCUGAAACC